rnacentral:rRNA from 1 species
AGUGAACGCUGGCGGUAGGCCUAACACAUGCAAGUCGAACGGCAGCACAGUAAGAGCUUGCUCUUACGGGUGGCGAGUGGCGGACGGGUGAGGAAUACAUCGGAAUCUACUUUUUCGUGGGGGAUAACGUAGGGAAACUUACGCUAAUACCGCGUACGACCUACGGGUGAAAGCAGGGGAUCUUCGGACCUUGCGCGAUUGAAUGAGCCGAUGUCGGAUUAGCUAGUUGGUGGGGUAAAGGCCCACCAAGGCGACGAUCCGUAGCUGGUCUGAGAGGAUGAUCAGCCACACUGGAACUGAGACACGGUCCAGACUCCUACGGGAGGCAGCAGUGGGGAAUAUUGGACAAUGGGCGCAAGCCUGAUCCAGCCAUACCGCGUGGGUGAAGAAGGCCUUCGGGUUGUAAAGCCCUUUUGUUGGGAAAGAAAAGCAGCAGGUUAAUACCCCGCUGUUCUGACGGUACCCAAAGAAUAAGCACCGGCUAACUUCGUG